rnacentral:rRNA from 1 species
GACGAACGCUGGCGGCGUGCUUAACACAUGCAAGUCGCACGGAAAGGCCCUGCUUUUGUGGGGUGCUCGAGUGGCGAACGGGUGAGUAACACGUGAGUAACCUGCCCUUGACUUUGGGAUAACUUCAGGAAACUGGGGCUAAUACCGGAUAGGAGCUCCUGCUGCAUGGUGGGGGUUGGAAAGUUUCGGCGGUUGGGGAUGGACUCGCGGCUUAUCAGCUUGUUGGUGGGGUAGAGGCUUACCAAGGCUUUGACGGGUAGCCGGCCUGAGAGGGUGACCGGCCACAUUGGGACUGAGAUACGGCCCAGACUCCUACGGGAGGCAGCAGUGGGGAAUAUUGCACAAUGGGCGGAAGCCUGAUGCAGCAACGCCGCGUGCGGGAUGACGGCCUUCGGGUUGUAAACCGCUUUCGCCUGUGACGAAGCGUGAGUGACGGUAAUGGGUAAAGAAGCACCGGCUAACUACGUG